UGCGGGAUGGUGUAACGGCAGCACGCCUCGCUCUGGACGAGGUAGUUGGGGUUCGAAUCCCUGUCCCGCAG
rnacentral:tRNA from 1 species